GAAUACCUUGCAAAAUAUAGUACUUUAAAACAAGCCCCCUUCAAAUACCCCACAUGCAGUUGUGCUUUGGACGAUGAUGAAAGUGACAAAAACGAGGAACUUGUUAAAACUGGGAAAUAUCAGAAAAUGAGCUUUCAAAAGUGUUUGGGUGCUUAAGAGUAUGAAUUUGGGUACUUAAGAUUAUUAUAAUUAUGGAUCACUCCAUAGUUAUUCUGUUUCUUUGAUGCUUAGGAAGCAGCUUGUAUUAAUGUGUAUGGACUAAGAAAAAUAAUACAUUUUAAAACUAUGCCUACUCAUGAAAAUUAGGUUAGCAAUAGAAUACAUUUUCCUAAAGGCAACUGCAGAGGAGAAUACUGAAUUCAUGCUACAGCCAGGCAAGACUCAGUCCUUCAGUAAAAGGUUGCUAUUCUAAGACACAAGUUUAACUUGCUGCUGCUGCCUAUAUACAGUGUCAGAACCAAUUUACAGGGCUACUUGGCUCAUAGCCUGAGUUUCCCCCAGCACAAAUGUUGCUAAAUGAGCUGUCAUAGUCCUCCACCGCACCCCCCCAAAUCCUGCUUUUGAACGUUACCACUCCACCCACAUUGGGAUAGGUGGCAGUGACAAGCAAAGCAAUUUCUUGUUUUGAAAUUAACGAUUUAAGCGAUCUUUUGGUGACGACAAAGGUGUAAAGCUAGGGUGUCGGGUAGGGAGAAAGAAAAAGAAAGCAGACACCAAGGUGCGGGGGUGAUUUGUAUGGAAGCAGCUCAACUUUGGGCCAGUCUUCCGUUCGCAAGCAACAGAUUCCCAAGGGCUUUAGGCAAAGUCCGGGGAAUCCGAAAGCUGGUUCUUCCUAGUCGAUCUUAAGGAGCGCCCCAUGGCCACGUUUCCUUGCGAAAUACUGGUGUGAAAGAAGGAAGGCGAGAGCGGCCGGCGUGCGCAUGCUAGGCCCGGGACCCCCCGAAAAAAGGUGGCGUCUUCUACCUCAAGGACCGGGGCGGCACGAAACGCUCUCGGGGUGUGAAAAGAGAAGGCUGCGACCACUAGGCAAGCCGGCCUCAGCCCCAGCCUAAGAGAGGAAUAGGCCGCUGAGGGAAACGUGGGGAUGGGGGAGGUGCCACGGCGCCGUGUGGCGCCUAGCAGGGCAAGAACUGACGAGGGAAGGAGAAAUAGGGAGGUUUUUGAGCGGGGCGUCCGAAGAGAGAAAGCGGCGGGAGCCUCUGAGCCGGCUCGACGCCCCCGGCCACGCCGAAAACGAAGAAGUUAGGUCCUCGCCCCCACCCGUAGGACACACUCUCGCCCGCCUCCCUCCCCUCACACGGGCCCUCUCGGGUCUCCUCUCUCCCCCUCCUCACGCGACCCCUCCCCUGCCGCCCCUCAACGCCCCCGCCCAAGCUGUGACGGCACAAUCCGGCUCGCGCUCCGAACCCGCCUAGACCCCCCCCGCCACGCGCCCCUCCUCUCCUCUCCCCCGCCCUCCGGCCCCGCUCGACUACUCCCCACGAGUCACCUCAUCGCACGCGCCGGCACCUUCGGCUCGCCGUACACAUGCGCGCGCCACACAGACACACACACAUUGCCAGGCCGCUGCCGCCGCCCCUUCCCUUCCUUCCCUUUUUUUUUUUACCCCUCUGCUAGGAUAGUCUCCCUCCGCCACGGUCGCCUUCUGGCUCCCGCCAAGCCUUUCCCCGGCCCCUCCGGAAGACGAGAAGGAAGGCGCUGGGUCGGAGAGGGAGGAAGCGGGAACGAGGACACUCACCGGUUCCACCGUCGCCAUCUUAGAUCGCUCUGAUCGUACAAGCGCGGAGGGGAGGGGAGAGUGCCUGCUUGUACUGGAAGUUUGGAAAGACAUUUGUAUUAUGCAGAUCAUUGCAUGAAGCAUUUUGGAGCUGCUAGAAUUAAUUUAGAAACACUAAGACUAGCUCAUGUUGCUGGGGAACAACUGAUUUAUUCAUCGGAUUUUCAGGUGAGCAGAUGCUGUUGACAAGAUCGGACUGAACCACAAUGAAGGAUGGGAUCUAUUCACAUACGUAUUAUUAUGCAGACGUGGGGACAAGACAAACCUAGGAAGAAUUGUAUUCCAUUAUUAUUGUUGGUAGGGCGACGCUAAGGUCCCAUUGGUUUGAACAGGAUUCACAACUAAAUCUUUACCAGUAUUCUGUGGUGCUUUCCCAUGCAUAAGACAGUGGUGCGAUGCAAUCUUCUGUAAAUUUGCUAGCAUGCAUCACUGUAUUUAGUGAGGCUUACUCCUAAGUAAGGUUAAGUUUUGUUGGAAUGCGCCUACUCGCUUUUGCUGUGAAACUAGUACAAAUGAAUGUACUGUACACUGUUCACCCAAACUAGACAGUUCUUGUUCCCCCUUGAGCAAUUGAACCAUGAGUGUUUUAUUAGAGCUCCAUCGCUUUGGAAGGUUUAUCAGGAGCAUUUGCAGCAUUUGUGAAACCCUCGUGUAGUUUGUGGUCAUGAUCCAAUGAGGAUUUACAUUCACAAAAGCAACAGUGUGUCAGGGUUUAUAGUUUCCUCUUGAGCAUCUCAUCCCUUAAGUCAUUUCCAUCCUGGUAUAAUUUUAUUGUAUCAUGCCAGUUUGAUUCAAGAGACCUCUAGGUGGCAUACAAUUCAAAAUCCGUAAUACAAGCAGUGGCACAAACAAGACACAACCACAGUCGUUACACAGUGCUUAUAGCUGCCCUAAAAUCUUUUAUUAAAAUGAGCCUGGCAGAUCUCUUGAGGGGGUGUUCUGGCAUGUGGCUGCCACCACAGUGAAGGCCCUACUUCUAGCAGAAACCCGUCUGGUUUUACAUAAUGAAGAAAUCUAAAGCAGAGCAGCCCUAUAAGAUUGUAGUACAUGGGAAGGGGGAAGCUUAAAAUCUGGACCCUAUGAAUCUUUUAGACAAUCCCUUCCAGGUAAAAGUUGCCCUGAAUUUUUGUUUUAAUUUGCUUUUAUAUACUUUCACAUUGGUGUUUAUUGGUUUUAGUUUGCAUUUUGUUUAAUGUUAUUGUUUGUUUUUGAUAUUGUAUAUCCCUUAGAAAUUUGUAAAAUAUUAAGCAUUUACACAUUCUAAUAAAUAAAGUGAAUUGCUGCUGUUUA